GUAUUUCUCCUGGUUUCCAUGAUCAUUAAAAUUUUUUUAAAUUGAUUUUAGGGAAUUUUAAAAGAUCAGGGUUCCCAUAUACUCAUUUUAUUUUUAUUUAUUUAAUAAAUAAUAUAUUAUAUUUGUAUUUCUGAUGUCUAACCAAAGUUUAAAUGUCCCACAGUGCCUCCUUCGACCACCAUGUUGGAACACAUUGUUCUCAUCCUCCCAUUCUACCAUGGGAAGUCUUCAAAUACUUGAGGUAGUAGCUAUCUCCCUAACUACCGGAUGAUGGCUUUGAGGCUGGUCGGUUACUUUCAACCUGGUUUAUCCAGUCUGCUGAGAUGGUUUUACUGGGAUACAACCACUUGUAUACUACAGAUUUCUUGGAACCACAGUUCCUUCUCUGGAAUUGGAUGGCAUUCUUUGUCCCAAGUCCCUCAGAAGUGUCCUGGAUCAUCGUAUUGCUGAGAGUAACAAAAUCUAUCACAGUUGAAAAACAAAGACUUCAAAGACACAUGAGUCAUUGAAGUCCAGUGGCAAGGAAAAAGUCAGAAUGACUGGUGAUCACCCAGGAUACAGUGGAUGACUUUUGUGUCUUCAACAUGUCAUUAUCAAGCUCUAGGUGCUCCAGAGAGCCGUCUUCAGCUAUUACCAUGAUUAUUGGACAAAUUAUUCUCAUCUGGCCAUUCUGCAGGGGGAGUCUUGACAUGCUUGAGAUAGACAUCUCCCUAAUUUGAGAUCUGACAGAUACCUGGUUUAGCCCAUUUUACUGGUAUAUGGUCACUGUGUAUUCUACAGUUUCUUGGAGUCAAAGGUUAGAGCUAUGGUAGACACAAAGGGUGGAUAAGCAAAAUAAGCCCUGAAAAAAGCUCAGAAACCCCCUUACUAAAGGUACUAGUUUUCCUUGCACUAUAAUAAUAUGUAAUAUAAUAAUAAUAAUAUAAUAUAGGGCCUAUAUAUUAAAAAUAUAAAAAUGAAUGCUUUUAUGGAAAAAGAACUUAAUAUUUUAAUGUUUCCUAAUUUAAAAUUUUUUAUAGACAAUUCUGAUUUCAUUUCAAAGAUCUAGAUAUUUCUAAAUUUGAAUGGCUAAACAAGGUAUUUUAAGUGGGCAAAUAUGAUACAUUUUUACUCCAUAUGAAAAAUUGUGAAUAGAACUAUCUUGUAAUAAUGUAUUGAAAUGUGUUUGAACUUGAAAAAUUUUAAUAUGUUUUGGCUCUGAGUGAAUAAAGAAUUCUCUGAUUCAUCA
rnacentral:lncRNA from 1 species